GAUUAAGUUAUUAAGGGCGCACGGUGGAUGCCUUGGCACUAGAAGCCGAUGAAGGACGUUACUAACGACGAUAUGCUUUGGGUAGCUGUAAGUAAGCGUUGAUCCAGAGAUUUCCGAAUGAGGGAACCCAGCAUGAGUUAUGUCAUGUUAUCGACAUGUGAAUUCAUAGCAUGUCAGAAGGCAGACCCGGAGAACUGAAACAUCUUAGUACCCGGAGGAAGAGAAAGAAAAAUCGAUUCCCUGAGUAGCGGC
rnacentral:rRNA from 1 species